rnacentral:lncRNA from 1 species
CCUGCUCGGUGCGGUAGAAGGUGCCCGGCAAGACCUUCUGUCCUAAGCCAGCUCCUUGGCUGGGUGACAUGGGGCAAGUUCCAGCACUACUCUGAGCCUCAGUCCUCUCAUCCGCCGAGUGGGAACAAUAACAUCUUGUCCCGACAUCGCUGGGCCGCCAAGGCAGCUCUCGGUGGACUCUUGCCCCAUGCUGUCCCUUCCCUGUGCCUGCCUCCGAGGGAGUGUGAGCUUCCAGAAGGUCGUGCUCCUCACCAAGGAGGCGCCAGCGUGGGCGUGGGCCAGUCAGAGCUGUUGGAGAAACACGUGAGCUGGUUCCUCCGCGGGCACCCGGGGCCGCACCCCCAGGGGAGCACGAGAACCACUUCCUCGCCCACUCCUUCCCCUUCCAAUCAUUUCGAUUCAGACUCAGCCCUGGCCUGCCACCGGCCAAGACCAGACGCGAUCUGCAGAGAUCUCUGCGGGAAGGGAGGGUGCGGGGGGCUGAGCUUUCCCUCGGGGCCCGUCGGAAUAAAAGUCACCAACUUGGGUCCCGCUGGGCACCUUAUGGAUGCUGUACGCGGCCUAACUGAUUCUCUCCUCCAGCUGCCUGGUAGGGAGACGCAUUCGUCAGCCCCAGUUCAAUCAGAGCUCAAGGUCACCCAGCUAGAGGAGAAGGAGCUCGCAUUGGCAAGCAGGCAGCCUGGCCCAGCCCAGGGUGAGCGGCUGGGACCAGCCCGGGCUGCGGGGUCCUUCCCUCACCCCCUGCUCUGGCCGGAGUCAGGAAGCGAGCAGAGGGGGAGAUGUCCUGUCUGCUCAGAGCCUGCCAGGUUUUCCUCUGACCCUCACAAGGAGGGGAGCAAGGGUUUCUGCCAGUGGCCUCGGGCCGGCACUCUGUGUGUCGGCCUGCAUGAGGUUUUAGAAGCCAGAGGACCCGGACUCGGUCAUGCUUGGUCCCCGUAUUGGGAGGCCUCGUGCGCCCCCGUCCUGUGCGCAAUCUAUCACCGCCCCCCGGCCCGCAGGCAUUCAAGUUCAGGGCCCCUCUGUGUGCAUGCAGGGCGCCUGGGUCACAGGGGAGAAAGCCAGUGA